rnacentral:rRNA from 1 species
CGAUUACGGGAGGCAGCAGUGAGGAAUCUUCCACAAUGGGCGAAAGCCUGAUGGAGCAACGCCGCGUGAAGGAUGAAGGCCUUCGGGUUGUAAACUUCUUUUAUGAGUGAAGAAUAUGACGGUAACUCAUGAAUAAGCACCGGCUAACUACGUGCCAGCAGCCGCGGUAAUAUCG